UGGCUGAGGAACGGGAGGCUGAAAGAAACUGAGCUUGGGUUCUCAACCUAGCAUCUGUACUUGGAGGAUGGAUCCUGCCUAACCCUUAUGCCACAGACUAGCAGGACCCAACCUUGGGAACCCCUUCACCCAAGGGGCCUCCAAAACCCUUCACACUGGACUUCUUUCUAUACCUGAGGCAGGUUGGUCGCACCUUGAGUCCCUCACACAGACGCAGUAGGAGUGUGGCCUUGAAGGAUGGAAUAAUAACAGGAGGGAGGUGAGGAGGACGGGAGGCAAUGCUCCAGAUGGACACGGGAGACCCCUGCCACACAGGCCCGGAGAUCUGGCCAGAGAUAUUUCCCUAUACAUGGAAAAGAAGAAGGCUCGAUCCCUGAAGACACAUAAACAUAAAGAAGAAUCAGAA
rnacentral:lncRNA from 1 species